rnacentral:tRNA from 1 species
GCCAAGGUGGCGGAACUGGCAGACGCGCGGGACUCAAAAUCCCGUGGCCCCAAAGGCCGUGUGGGUUCGAUUCCCUCCCUUGGCACCA